rnacentral:rRNA from 1 species
UACGUAGGGGGCAAGCGUUGUCCGGAUUUAUUGGGCGUAAAGCGCUCGCAUGUGGUCCGAUGCGUCGUGCGUGAAAGACCCCGGCUCAACUGGGGGGUGUCGUGCGAUACGGUCGGACUGGAGGCCAGUAGGGGGAUGCGGAAUUCCGGGUGUAGUGGUGGAAUGCGUAGAGAUCCGGAGGAACACCAGCGGCGAAGGCGGCAUCCUGGACUGGUCCUGACACUCAGGAGCGAAAGCGUGGGGAGCGAGCCGG